GAUGAAAACGUAGCGAAAUGCGAUAAGUAGUGUGAAUUGCAGAAUUCAGUGAAUCAUCGAAUCUUUGAACGCACAUUGCGCCCCUUGGUAUCCCGAGGGGCAUGCCUGUUCGAGCGUCAUUUCAACCCUCAAGCCCCCGGGUUUGGUGUUGGGGAUCGGCUCUGCCCUUCUGGGCGGUGCCGCCCCCGAAAUACAUUGGCGGUCUCGCUGCAGCCUCCAUUGCGUAGUAGCUAACACCUCGCAACUGGAACGCGGCGCGGCCAUGCCGUAAAACCCCAACUUCUGAAUGUUGACCUCGGAUCAGGUAGGAAUACCCGCUGAACUUAAGCAUAUCAAUAAGCGGAGGA
rnacentral:misc_RNA from 1 species